ACAUUUGGAAAAUAUUUUCCAAAACAUGGGUAAAAUCUUCUCUAUUUUACGGAAAAUGUCUUACAGAUUAUUUUUCCGUAAGACAUUUUCCAUCUCUUCAUCCAGGCAAGGCAAAUCUGCAAAGGCAAAUCUCUCUUUCUAAGAAUGGGUAAGGGCAACAAAGAAGGGACCUCCAAACAAUUCAGGUGGACAAAAUCGAUGGAACAUGUUUUUCUUGAAAUUCUAGCAGAGGAGGCCCAGAAAGGAAAUAAGCCUUCUAAUACUUUCAAAACAGUUUCUAUUAAACGAGUUGUCGAAGCUAUUUCUGAAAGAUUCCAAGUCCAAUGCGAUGCGAAGCAUGUGGAAAAUCAUUUGAGGACUGUAAAAAACCAAUGGCAAAUUAUAUGCAAAAUUCGAGGUGAAAGUGGUUUUGGAUAGGAUGAUAACAUGAAAAUGAUCACAUGUGAUAGAGCGACAUAUGAUGCAACAGUGAUGGUAAUAUAUGUAUAUAUAUGUUAAGUAUAUUUCAAUUGUUUUAUACUUGUUAUUCUAA